CGGGCUUGUGCGGACGUGUCUCGGGCGUGACCUUUGAGCAGCUGCGCCACCGGCUCAGCCUCGCGGCGGGGGAAACCCGAGCUCCCAACAAAACGGUUCCAUCUUUGGCUAGGCCUUUGGUAUUUCAAGGCGCUGCCGGUGGGGAGAGAUGCCGCGUGCCUGAGAGGCUCUGGGAGGCACCAAAGAAGGCCCAGAGAGGUUUAACAACUUCCUCAGAAUCACACAGCUUCCAAAUGGUUGGGUUGGGUUUACAUUUAGGCGGUCUUGCUCCAGAGCCAGUGCUCCUAACCUUUGCAAGCCACGAACCUCAAGAAAGUGGAGAAGGAAACGCUGGGAAAUCUGGAAGUCAGACAUGAGAGCUAAUGCUGGCAGCUGUUGGGAUGUCCUCUUCCAGGAAUGGUGAUGAGUUUCCCUGGAUCCAGCCCUGGCUUGGCUGAGGUUUUUCUCACUGUAAGAAGAGGACAAUAGCCUAUGAUCUACAGUGCCCAUUCCAACUCAGAGAAUCUUUACAUCUGGAGAUCUAUAGCAGGGCUAUCCCUAGUGACAUGCGUGAAGAAGCUUGGAAAUGGUGCUGGGUAGGAGCUGAGUGUGCAGAAUGUGGAAAGGCAUUCUAAACCAAAGGAAGAACACGAGUAAAGAUGAUGAAGCAGGGAUAAGGCUAAAAUGAAAUUUGUGAUCUGAUCCACAUACAAGCACAGUGUAGUACAGCUGGAAUAUAGAGAAGAGCUUGAAGACUUAUGAGCAACUAUCCCGGUACUCUUGGAGGCUCUGCAACCACAGUUUGAGAAACUCCGCGUUCAAAGUUAAAAACUGUCACCUGAAUAGUUAAUAACAUCAAAGAUUGUGAAAGCAAGUAUAAAUAACACAGAGAUUAAAAUAAUGAGGCAGGAUCAGAAACACUGACCUGCUGUGUAAGAAGUCCAACUGCCCUGAGGCCACCAGGCUGGAGAGACCAUGUAUGGAUAGGUUCUCUGAUCAACAGUUUCUAUCAAGCCCAGCCUUCUAGCCAUCAAGCCCAGCCUUCUAGCCAUGUCCACCAAUGUGCCUGACAUGUGAGUGAAGCCAUCACAGACCCUUCAGACCAGCCCACCUGCCAGCUGAAUACUUGUGAGUAACCUUGGUUGAUACUAUGUGGAACAGAAUCUCUCAGCCAAGCCCUGCCUGAAUUCCUGACCCACACAUUCAGGAGAUACAACGGAAUGGCCAGGUUCUAAUCCACUGAGUUUUGGGGUGGUUUAUUAUGCAGCAAUAGAUAACUAGAACACUGGACAUAAAUGGAAGAAGCUUUGCGGUCAGCUUUUAAUAAGUUUAGGCUGAUUUCAUGUGAUUUACCCCAUCCAUCUGCUCCUGCUCGUGAUAAUUCCAUCUUGUUCAAAACUUGGAUCAAGU
rnacentral:lncRNA from 1 species